rnacentral:lncRNA from 1 species
CUAAUAAGACUUCACGGACAAAAUUUUAUUUUUACUUUUAAGUCACUGAAUUUUUGACUACUACAAAAUUAUGUGCUAACAUGCUCAAAAGUUUAUAAAUUAAUAUUUAUCUAAAACCACAAUUUACUUUAAGAGGUUAAUAAUAUCAUUAUUAAUAUUAUGAGAUUAGUUUAAGGGCUUUUUUCUUAAUAGAAUGAAAUGGGUCGGGUCUAGCCAAAUUAAGUCACCUCAGAUAAUUGAUCAACUUGAUCUCUUUGCAGCCUUACAUCUAUUGUCUUUUAUUUUAAUUUUUUUUUCUAUAUCUCUCUUCUAAAUGUCAUAUAGUAUCUUGAACCGUAUAUGUUGGACGGCUAGAUUAUUGUUGGCUUCACCACAGUGCC